rnacentral:misc_RNA from 1 species
CAGGAACACGAAAGUCCCAAGAUUCUUUUAUUCAUAUAUCACAGCAAUUAAUAGUCAUAGUUCAUAAAACAGCUACAAGAAAAUAAUACCAGUAAAUACAUCUCUACAUAUCAAAAACUAGAACAUAAAACCAAAACAGAGCAUCAAUGAAAGAAAUUAAAAACAAAAAUCAAAUUUCAAUGACUUCAUUUCCAUCUGGGAUAGUGAUUCUCCUCCUUACUGUUCCUGAAAGCGCAGCAUCCAAUGGAGUAAACAAUGAUGAGAAACACGAGUACAACAAUAUUAAUAAUCGCCACUUUCUUCCAGUUCCUCUUCAAAUUAUCCAACACUCCACCCUUGCAGGAUUGGCAAUUGAAGCACAGAGUUUCAGGAUUGUUAUUCCACAAACCACAAUCCGGAUUAGAAAAACUUGAAGAAUUCGUUGGAUUCGUCCACUGAGUUGGCGUCAUGUAGUUGAAAUUGCAUUCAUCUGGCGGCUUGCAGCACCCAGACUGAAUUGAAGAUAAGUGUUCUUGGUAGAAUUGCUCAACGGAAUCACGGGCGAAUUUAUCGUUGAAUUCAUUACAGACCUUGCCGUCGACCAAACAGCUUCUGAUUCUGUUCCAGUCUUUGUUGUUGCUAACGCGAUUCUGGAGCCAGUUGGAGUAAUCGCCGAGUCUGUAUUCCUUGUAGCCUCUGUUGGAGAGAACUUUUCCGGCGCCUUUGUUGGUGACGGCGAAGGCGAAGAUGGUGAAGACGAAGAGGAGGACGAUGAGAAGGAACAUGACGAAAAGGUAAAUCCAGAGAAGCCAUCUCACGCGACAGCACGCGCCGAUGAAACCCGCGAGUGAGACAAGUAGAAGGAAAACUCCGAUGACGAUGACCGGCGUGUCGAGAAAUUUCUCACAGUCGGACGUCCCCUGUCGGCUGAGCCAUAUCCCACCGGCAAUAAUUGGGAUAGAGAGCAAAAAGGUGAUGAAAUUGAGAAUCCCAACUAAAUUAUUGCUGAGUUUCACCAUGGUUUGAAAUCAGAAAAACAGAACACAACCCAGAAUCUGAAAAUCACU